rnacentral:lncRNA from 1 species
CCGGCCACAUCUCCCGCGACUGCACCAAGUGAGGGGAUAUCUCUGCCCCUCCCCCUCUAUAGAUUGCGCCUAAAUACCUCUCGUCUUAGUUUUGCCGAUCGAUCGAUCUGGGUCUGAGCGCUCAGCCGCAGCCGCCUCGCUUAUUUUAUCUUCCUCCCCCCUUCCGUUCUCGGAAUCCGUCCUAGGGGAAACUCGUCCGCAAGUCAGUAAGUCAGUCAGUCAGUCCGUGUGAUGGUUAAUUUUGCUAUGAAUUGGUCUCUGGUACCCGUACCGUACUCUCAGUUGAUGUUUAAGGUCGUGAUGAUGAUGGAUUAUUGGUGAUUUUUGUGUGGUGAUGAUGAGGAGAUUGCAACAGAUCUCUGUUUUUUGGUUUCAUCGAAAAGUAAAAUGAUGCUGGUUGUUAUCAUC